rnacentral:rRNA from 1 species
AAGCUCGUAGUUGAAUUUCGGGAUCAAUAUGUUGGUCGUGCCAUUGGUACGCACUGGCAUUAUUGGUUUCUACCUUCUGAAGAACCUCGAUGUUAUUAAUUUGGUGUCUUGGGGAAUCAGGACUGUUACUUUGAAAAAAUUAGAGUGUUUAAAGCAAGCUCGCGCUUGAAUACAUUAGCAUGGAAUAAUGAAAUAGGACGUUUGAUUCUAUUUUGUUGGUUUCUAGGAUCGACGUAAUGAUUAAUAGGGAUAGUUGGG